CAACCCUUGGAUCAAAUCUAACGGCUUUUAAACUCUCUAUUCCUAACUCUAAUGCAUUUUCCACCUUUUUGACACUCCACAUAGCCACACAGCCGCCUCCCUCUCUUUCUUUCUCUCUCGCACAACCUUUCUCUUUCUCUCUCUCUCGCUCUCAGACUUCACACAUCUCGCACACCCCGGUAGGUGGCACGCCGGUAGCACACUCUUCACCGUUCGCACACGCCGGCAGCUCACUCUUCACCGUUCGCGCAUCCCGGCAGCGCACUCUUUGCCGUUCGCACAUCUCGAGCUGGCUUCGGCUUGCUCGUGUUCUGCUCGUCUACAGCCCUACGUCUACCUACAC
rnacentral:lncRNA from 1 species